rnacentral:rRNA from 1 species
UACGUAGGGCGCAAGCGUUGUCCGGAAUUAUUGGGCGUAAAGCGCGCGCAGGCGGUCCUUUAAGUCUGAUGUGAAAGCCCACGGCUUAACCGUGGAGGGUCAUUGGAAACUGAGGGACUUGAGUACAGAAGAGGAGAGUGGAAUUCCACGUGUAGCGGUGAAAUGCGUAGAGAUGUGGAGGAACACCAGUGGCGAAGGUGACUCUCUGGUCUGUAACUGACGCUGAGGUGCGAAAGCGUGGGUAGCAAACAGGAUUAGAUACCCU